UACGGGGGGGGCAAGCGUUGUUCGGAAUUACUGGGCGUAAAGGGCGCGUAGGCGGCCUGUUAAGUCGGAUGUGAAAUCCCUCGGCUCAACCGAGGAACUGCCUCCGAUACUGGUUGGCUUGAAUCCGGGAGAGGGAUGUGGAAUUCCAGGUGUAGCGGUGAAAUGCGUAGAUAUCUGGAGGAACACCGGUGGCGAAGGCGACAUCCUGGACCGGUAUUGACGCUGAGGCGCGAAAGCCAGGGGAGCAAACGGG
rnacentral:rRNA from 1 species